GCUCCAAAUUUGUGCUUCAGCAGAAAACGAAACCUCUCACUGUGCACUCACACUAUGACAUAAUUUAAUGUUAAAUAAGAUAUUUAGAUGAAGAGGCAAUGUUUUCAAAUACAGUCACAACUUGCACUAUUUGCAAAUAUUUAAUAUGAAAUGAAAAUUUGUUGCAGACAUAACCUUUCUCUUCAAUAACUCAUUUUUCUCUACGGUAGUUCAUAGAUUUAGAUACCCAUUGCCGUGUGAACAGAAAGUUGUUGAAUUUGGAGCCAUAGUUACUGGGUUCAAGGCCUAAAGCUCCCAACUUUCUUUGUUUUUCUGACAUAUUACACUGUUUUAGACCAAUUUGGUUCUCUUUUGUUGCCGAUCCAGAUGGGUUCGCGCUUGGAACUGUGUUUUGGUUCCUAACUCCUGUAUUCAGGCUUCUGAGUUCUUUGUAAAGUGGGAGAGAGAUAUUUCAUGUGUGAAAGUUGAAUUGAACUUCUUUGACCAAUGAAGAUGCUGCUGGUUUUCUAGCAGGAAACGGUUGCCAAAGGUGUUGUUGGUGUCAUUUUGAUCAAUGAAAGUCUGUAUUAUUAGUGUUUUUAUUGGAUAUGAGUCGGUCUCCUUCCUUUAAAGUUAAAACAGAAUUGAAUCCCAGUCUUGAUCCAGAUUCUUUACAGAGAUGGAUUGUUUCCUUAUGUGCUAUAAGAUUUGAUCUUGAACAAGGCCAGCUUGUAGAAGUAUGUUAUCCACCUGGCUGUCUUACUCAUGAUGAAGAGCUGGAGGUUGCUUAUAGUUCGUUUCCGGAUUCGGUUUCCCAGCAACAAAACCGCUCCAGCAUUCAUGAUUGUAUUUUCUUUUUCCGGUUUCGUAGGCACCUCAAGUCUCCAUCCAGCAAUGCCACUCGUUCUUCCGAGAUAACUGAGGUUGACAAGGAGUUUUCUCCAAAGCCCAUAGAAGAAAACAGUGUUAGUAAAAGAUUAUCCAGUAAGAGUAGUGUUAAUGUUUCUAAAUACCUGUAUGGCUUUGUCUUUAACAGACAGAGACAUGAUGAGAGGCUAAAGCGAGGAGGGGAGCAGAAGUCUGUGGUCAUCUUGUCCCACAGUCCUUAUUCUAGUGUGUUUAGACCUUUGUUACAAAUUGUAGGCCCCUUAUAUUUUGACAUUGGUAAGAUAGCACUAGAGCAUAUUGCUGCAUAUGUUUCAACAUGGCCUGAUCCUAUUCCCGGUAAGCAAAUGGAUCUUCCUAUUGGGAAUGCGACGCUUAAAGUGAACUUGCCGCCUGCGCACAGCUUGCACAUGGAAAAUGGAGUAUCUUUUGAUGAAUCUGCUUCUCCUGUAGCUCCUUUUCUUCCGAAUAAUCAGUCUGUCCCACAGGGCCUUUUUCAUGAUUCGGAUCUUUUUGGUGCUUUCCGAGGCCUUUUAUUGCAGCUUUGGUUGUUAUGGGAGUUGUUACUCAUUGGUGAACCAAUUCUUGUCAUUGCACCCACCCCUCCCCAGUGUUGUGAGGCUGUUGCAAGUCUUGUGAGUUUGCUUGCACCGUUACUUUGCAGUGUUGACUUCCGGCCUUAUUUUACAAUUCAUAACCCUGAGUUUGCACACUUGAAUUCGAUCCGAGAAGGGGAAACCUUCCCCCCAAUGGUUUUAGGGGUGACAAAUCUUUUCUUCCUUAAGGCUCUCCGUAAUAUCCCUCACAUUGUCUCAGUGGGAAGUCUCCCUCCUAGUUCAAAUAGGGUUGCCCUUUCGACUAGGUCUUCUACUGGAAGGGUUCCUGGUAGACCUGAAGGUCUUGGGCUUCAACAACUUUCCCUACAAAAGUUUUCUCCUUCAAGUUUGUUGAAUGCGAUUAAGCUACGGAGAGAGGGUCCUCUUUGUCUCAUGACAGAACAUAAGGAAGCCAUUUGGACUACAUAUUCUGCCACAACUAAGCCGGACACCUCUAUUUUGAAUAGACUUAUAGAUGCUGGAGUCUCACCAAGAGUUGAGGAGUCUAUGUCAGUUGUUAACAAUGAGAUACUGAGGAGACAUUUCUUGGAGCUUACAACUAAUUUUUUAGCCCCUUUUGGUCCAUAUUUUAGGACUACAGUGCCAUUGGAAGGAUCUUCUCCUUAUGCAGAUCCUCCUUCUUUGCCUCCAUUUAAUGCUGAUGAAUUUCUUGCAAGUUUAUCAGCCAGAGGUCCAGGGAAGUUCAUUUUAAAGAGAAUGAAAUCUAACUGGCUCAACUUCUACAGGCGGUUCCUGAAUGGACCCAACUUCAUGCCUUGGUUUCAGAGGAGGCGUGCUGUAGCUGAACAGGAGCAAGAUAGAUUGUGGAGGCAUGCAAGAAUGAAAGCUGAUAUAAAACAGCUUAUAUCUAAAAUGUCUGAGUUGGAAAUUGUGGAUUCCUUCAAUGUUAUAGAGAGACUCCUACUUAGAGAAUUACAGCAGCAGCAACCUGGAAACGGAGGUAUUGAUUCUACAGCAACUUGUCAGAAACUGGUGGGAGAUCUUCAGGCAGUUUUCAAUGCACUUACAAAAGACAUGCAACAACUCAUGCUUUCAAAUCCACAAAGGGCAUCCCUUCUGCAAGGUAACCCAGAAUUGGCAAAACUUUCGGCACAUGCACUCGUUCAAGCCGGGGAAGUGUCUUCUGCAUCAGCCAUUUAAUGGUAAAAACAUGAAACAGGUGGUCUUCUUAUGGUCCUCAAAGGCACCCUUCUUUUUAAGUCACUGCCUCUGAUUGAGAGGAUUUCUGUGACCUCGGACAAGUCAUGGGCUGUGCAAUAACAGCACUUUGAUUGAUCAAUCCACUCCAAGAAGCAGACAUGAGAUAACGUGCCUCUUGACAAACAUACAUGGGAAUUUCAUUUAUUUGAAACUUGCCAGGCUGUAAGUUUGCCUUUGUCGGUCGGUGAUAAUUGUAUUGUGGCUUCAUAUUGUUUCUAUUAUGAAGGACCAAGUUGUAAAUUAUUCACUUUGUUUUAGCCUUUGGUAAUGAUCACUAUUCCACGCUUUCUACAA